UGGUGGGUAGUUUGACUGGGGCGGUCUCCUCCUAAAGAGUAACGGAGGAGCACGAAGGUUGGCUAAUCCUGGUCGGACAUCAGGAGGUUAGUGCAAUGGCAUAAGCCAGCUUGACUGCGAGCGUGACGGCGCGAGCAGGUGCGAAAGCAGGUCAUAGUGAUCCGGUGGUUCUGAAUGGAAGGGCCAUCGCUCAACGGAUAAAAGGUACUCCGGGGAUAACAGGCUGAUACCGCCCAAGAGUUCAUAUCGACGGCGGUGUUUGGCACCUCGAUGUCGGCUCAUCACAUCCUGGGGCUGAAGUAGGUCCCAAGGGUAUGGCUGUUCGCCAUUUAAAGUGGUACGCGAGCUGGGUUUAGAACGUCGUGAGACAGUUCGGUCCCUAUCUGCCGUGGGCGCUGGAGAACUGAGGGGGGCUGCUCCUAGUACGAGAGGACCGGAGUGGACGCAUCACUGGUGUUCGGGUUGUCAUGCCAAUGGCACUGCCCGGUAGCUAAAUGCGGAAGAGAUAAGUGCUGAAAGCAUCUAAGCACGAAACUUGCCCCGAGAUGAGUUCUCCCUGACUCCCUGAGAGUCCUGAAGGAACGUUGAAGACGACGACGUUGAUAGGCCGGGUGUGUAAGCGCAGCGAUGCGUUGAGCUAACCGGUACUAAUGAACCGUGAGGCUUAACCUUACAACGCCGAAGCUGUU
rnacentral:rRNA from 1 species